CCAAUAGCGUAUAUUAAAGUUGUUGCAGUUAAAAAGCUCGUAGUUGAAUUUCGGGGUUAGUAGGUUGGUCAUGCCUCUGGUAUGUACUGAUCUCACUGAUUCCUCCCUCUUGACGAACUGUAAUGUCAUUAAUUUGGUGUUGCAGGAAAUCAGGACUGUUACUUUGAAAAAAUUAGAGUGUUUAAAGCAGGCUUAGGCUUGAAUACAUUAGCAUGGAAUAAUGAAAUAGGACGUUUGAUCCUAUUUUGUUGGCUUCUAGGAUUGACGUAAUGAUUAAUAGGGAUAGUUGGGGGCAUUAGUAUUCAAUUGUCAGAGGUGAAAUUCUUGGAUUUACUGAAGACUAACUACUGCGAAAGCAUUUGCCAAGGAUGUUUUCAUUAAUCAAGAACGAAAGUUAGGGGAUCGAAGACGAUCAGAUACCGUCGUAGUCUUAACCAUAAACUAUGCCGACUAGGGAUCGGAUGAUGUUAAUUUUUUAAUGACUCAUUCGGCGCCUUACG
rnacentral:rRNA from 1 species